GCCAGAUGCCUAAUUUAAUGGCAAUUUUAAAGCAAAAUGUCUGUAUUUUCAAAGCUGUCAACUUAUUUCUGGACAACCGUCUCCUUUCGCUUACACAUUUCAUCCUUUUAAGUAAUAUUUAAUGACAUGAUGUAAUUAUUUUGACAAGCUCAAGGGCAUAAACAAGCUUGGAGCCCAGCACAGGCGAUGCUUGGUUAGCCCAGCUCAGCUGGGUGGAGAGGCAUGCGGGACAGCAGCCCACAUCUGGAGGCGCCAGGGAUGCUACGGUGCAGGGGUGGUGAGAGCCCCGGGUCAUCUGGUGAGUCGAGCAAGUUGAGGUCGAUUUAGAGCUUCCACUGGCUGCAACUUCAUGGGAACUAAAGCUCAGGUGCGCCGAGGAGGCAUUAACAGAGAUGUAGCGUCCAGAACAGGGGAGGACACGGUACUGCUCCUCUCUGUCUGGUCAGACCCCCCCCCAGAGAGCUGUGCUGAGCUGCUGAAGCUGCACCCUUUGAAGUGCCGCUGGCAAAGAACAGGUUGGGGAAAAGGAAUCAGGCCAUGGAUGUGACCGUUUAGCUCAGCAAAGAGGAGCUUCAGGCGGGGCGCGAUCAAGGUGCUCACAUCUCCAGGAGAGAGGAGGGAGAAGAACACUUGUUCCCCGUGGCUCCGGCAGGCAGAGCCAGGCCCUGUGAGUGACCCUCCGGCUCCUUCCAGAACUACCUCUCCCCCACCCCCACCCGAGCCCUGCUGUCUCUGUACCCAUUGUCUCUCUUACAUAGCACAGAUCGCGAUGUACGAUUAAAGGCUUCAUCACUCUGAGAUUCUGGACGCGGUCUGUGCCCUGUCACCCGCCUCGUCCCAGCCUAGAGCUGGCUUACCAUCGGCCAAGUGUCUGCCUGUGAACGCAGCGUCAGGGAGGCUUUGGAGCGGUUUGAAGGAGAGCUGGCCCAGGAGGGGCCUUUCCCCCCAGGCCCUCGGUUCACCCCUGCUGGAGAGGUGGGGCAGGUCAGAGCUGUUGAUUCAAGGAGACCGGACUUCUUUUCUCCGAGGCAGCAACUUCGGAGAAGAGUCCCCACGAGCACAAUCGCCGAUGUCCAGCCACUUUCCAUCCUGGCCCCUGGCCCCUCCCCGAGGUGCUCCGGCGUCCAGAAUAAGAAGAGAGCAGACUCUGCUGCUUGAGUCACGCGUCCACAGGAGGCAAGAGUUUCAAACCUGAAGUACACAGAACUGGACGAGCUCUACCAGUGUCCCCAGCGCAAGGGGGAUGCUAGCCCUCUCAGCAUUCCUUGGCCUUCGGGAAAUUACCUUCCUUUGUUGAAGAGGCCUGGGGGAUCUGGCCAGCAGGGUCCCCCCUACACCGCCCCGUUAUCCUCUGGCCAAGGAACGAUGGGAGUGUGGGAGCUCCCCAGGCCAAUUCUCCCUCCCUGGAGGGACUGCUUGAUUCAUUGCUUGACUGAUUAAUUCUUUUGUUUAUUUGUUGCCAGCAAAAGGACAGCUUU